GAUGAACGCUGGCGGCGUGCUUAACACAUGCAAGUCGAACGGAAAGGCUCAUCUUUGCAGGGGUACUCGAGUGGCGAACGGGUGAGUAACACGUGGGUGAUCUGCCCUGCACUUCGUGAUAACCCUGGGAAACUGGGUCUAAUACCGGAUAGGACGAUGGGUUGGAUGCCGUUGUUGAGAGUUUUUCGGGGUGGGAUGAGCUCGCGGCCUAUCAGCUUGUUGUUGGGGUAAUGGCCUACCAAGCCGUCGACGGGUAGCCGGCCUGAGAGGGGGUACGGCCACAUUGGGACUGAGAUACGGACCAGACUCCUACGGGAGGCAGCAGUGGGGAAUAUUGCACAAUGGGCGCAAGCCUGAUGCAGCGACGCCGCGUGGGGGAUGACGGCCUUCGGGGUGUAAACUCCUUUCGCUAGGGACGAAGCGCAAGUGACGGUACCUGGAGAAGAAGCACCGGCUAACUACGUG
rnacentral:rRNA from 1 species